CACAACAUUUUAGAAGAGAAUGUGAGUGAUUUAAAAACAAAAUCGCUUACAAAAAAAAAAAAAAAGAAGCAACCCUUUCUUUCUCUUUCCAGUGCCACAUUCAUCCUUUCAUUCCCACCACAUGUAACCAAAGAUCAUAGGGAAAACAUUAGGAAAAUAACAAAAAAAAAAGAGAAAAAGAAUAAGAAAGAUAGAGAUAGGGCAAAAACUAAAAUCAUUUGACAAACAAACUCAACAACAUUUUAGAACAAAAUGUGAUUAUGAAAAAAAUAAUUGCUUGAGAAAAAAAAAUCUGAAUCAACCACCUUUUUUUUCUCUUCUCAGAGCCACAAUCGACCCUCUAAUCUCAGAACCUGAAACCAAAGACAGUAGGAAAUAGGAAAUUAAACAUAAAAAAAAACAAAAGAGGAGAAAGAACAACUUAGGAAAAACAUUAAAAAGAAAAGAGAAAGAAGAACACAAAUAAAAAAUAAAGAAAAAGAAGACUUGCAAAGAGGAAAAAU
rnacentral:lncRNA from 1 species